GUAUAAGAGACAGCAGUAGCCGCGGUAAUACAGAGGGUGCGAGCGUUAAUCGGAUUUACUGGGCGUAAAGCGUGCGUAGGCGGCUUUUUAAGUCGGAUGUGAAAUCCCUGAGCUUAACUUAGGAAUUGCAUUCGAUACUGGGAAGCUAGAGUAUGGGAGAGGAUGGUAGAAUUCCAGGUGUAGCGGUGAAAUGCGUAGAGAUCUGGAGGAAUACCGAUGGCGAAGGCAGCCAUCUGGCCUAAUACUGACGCUGAGGUACGAAAGCAUGGGGAGCAAACAGGAUUAGAUACCCCGGUAGUCCCUGUCUCUUAUAC
rnacentral:rRNA from 1 species